rnacentral:rRNA from 1 species
AGCGAACGCUGGCGGCAGGCCUAACACAUGCAAGUCGAGCGCCCAGCAAUGGGAGCGGCAGACGGGUGAGUAACGCGUGGGGAUGUGCCCAAUGGUGCGGAAUAACCCAGGGAAACUUGGAUUAAUACCGCAUGUGCCCUUCGGGGGAAAGAUUUAUCGCCAUUGGAUCAACCCGCGUCUGAUUAGCUAGUUGGUGAGGUAAAGGCUCACCAAGGCGACGAUCAGUAGCUGGUCUGAGAGGAUGAUCAGCACACUGGGACGGAGACACGGCCCAGACUCCUACGGGAGGCAGCAGUGGGGAAUAUUGGACAAUGGGCGCAAGCCUGAUCCAGCCAUGCCGCGUGAGUGAUGAAGGCCUUAGGGUUGUAAAGCUCUUUCGCCGGUGAAGAUAAUGACGGUAACCGGAGAAGAAGCCCCGGCUAACUUCGUGCCAGCAGCCGCGGUAA